UCCCUGGUGGCUCAGAUGGUAAAGCCUCUGUCUACAAUGCAGGAGACCCAGGUUCGAUCCCUGGGUUGGGAA
rnacentral:tRNA from 1 species